rnacentral:ncRNA from 1 species
CACCGCCCGUCGCUACUACCGAUUGGAUGGUUAUGUGAGGUCCUCGGGGCUCCUUCACGGGGCCUUGGUGCUGUGCUAAAAAGUCGAUUGAACUUGAUCAUCUAGAGGAAUUAAAAGUCGUAACAAAGUUGCCGUAGAUGAACCCGCAGAAG